UCGAGAAUUUUUCACAAUGGGCGAAAGCCUGAUGGAGCGACGCCGCGUGGGGGAUGAAUGGCUUCGGCCCGUAAACCCCUGUCAUUCGCGAUCAACCCUUACUAUUUAAAAGAUGGUAAGCUGAUAGUAGCGGAAGAGGAAGGGACGGCUAACUCUGUGCCAGCAGCCGCGGUAAUACAGAGGUCCCAAGCGUUGUUCGGAUUCACUGGGCGUAAAGGGUGCGUAGGUGGUGAGGUAAGUCGGAUGUGAAAGCUCGGAGCUCAACUCCGGAAUGGCAUUGGAAACUACCUUGCUUGAGGAUUGGAGGGGGGACGUGAAUACUUGGUGUAGCAGUGAAAUGCGUAGAUAUCAAGUGGAACACCAGUGGCGAAGGCGAGUCCCUGGACAAUUCCUGACACUGAGGCACGAAAGCUAGGGGAGCAAACAG
rnacentral:rRNA from 1 species